UCCUACGGGACGCAGCAGUGAGGAAUAUUGGUCAAUGGGAGAGAUCCUGAACCAGCCAAGCCGCGUGAGGGAAGACGGCCCUAUGGGUUGUAAACCUCUUUUGUCGGAGAACAAAACCCGGGACGAGUCCCGGACUGCGUGUAUCCGAAGAAAAAGCAUCGGCUAACUCCGUGCCAGCAGCCGCGGUAAUACGGAGGAUGCGAGCGUUAUCCGGAUUUAUUGGGUUUAAAGGGUGCGUAGGCGGUCCGUUAAGUCAGCGGUGAAAUUUAGGGGCUCAACCCCGU
rnacentral:rRNA from 1 species